rnacentral:rRNA from 1 species
AGGAUCAUUAUUGAAUAAACUUGGUUGGGUUGCUGCUGGCCCUCAGGCGCAUGUGCACGCUCAACUGAUUUUAACCACCUGUGCACACACUGUAGGCCUGAAUGAACUUUUGUCGAGGAAACUCGGUUUGAGAACUGCUGGUGAAACGUCAGCUGUUCUUGCGUUCCAGGUCUAUGUUUUUAACACACUCCAUAACAAGUAAUAGAAUGUUAAUCAUUGGCCUUCUGUGCCUUUUAAACCUAAUACAACUUUCAACAACGGAUCUCUUGGCUCUCGCAUCGAUGAAGAACGCAGCGAAAUGCGAUAAGUAAUGUGAAUUGCAGAAUUCAGUGAAUCAUCGAAUCUUUGAACGCACCUUGCGCUCCUUGGUAUUCCGAGGAGCAUGCCUGUUUGAGUGUCGUGAAAUUCUCAACCUUUCUGGCUUUUAUGAGCUGGUCGGGCUUGGAUUGUGGAAGUUGCUGGCUUCUUUUGAGACCAGCUCUUCUUAAAUGUAUUAGCAAAAUUCUUGCUGGUCCAUUGGUAUGAUAAUUAUCUAUGCCAUUGAGAACACAGCUUUUCACUAUAUAGCGGAUUUCAGGCUCUGCUUGGAUUUAUCUCCAAGUGUUCGAUUC